CACGUAGGGCGCAAGCGUUGUCCGGAAUUAUUGGGCGUAAAGAGCUCGUAGGCGGUUUGUCGCGUCGGGAGUGAAAACCCCAGGGCUUAACUCUGGGCUUGCUUUCGAUACGGGCAGACUAGAGGUAUGCAGGGGGAGAACGGAAUUCCGCGUGUAGCAGUGAAAUGCGUAGAGAUGCGGAGGAACACCGAUGGCGAAGGCAGCCCCCUGGGUCGACACUGACGCCUCAGGCACGAAAGCGUGGGGAGCAAACAGG
rnacentral:rRNA from 1 species